rnacentral:rRNA from 2 species
CUAUACAUGCAAGUCGAACGCGUCUUGGUCAAUGAAGUUGAGUGCUUGCAUUUAACUGAUUUGACAUUAAGACGAGUGGCGAACUGGUGAGUAACACGUGGGUAACUUGCCCCGAAGCGGGGGAUAACAUUUGGAAACAGGUGCUAAUACCGCAUAACAACAAAAACCACAUGGUUUUUGUUUAAAAGAUGGUUUCGGCUAUCACUUUGGGAUGGACCCGCGGCGUAUUAGCUAGUUGGUGAGGUAAUGGCUCACCAAGGCAAUGAUACGUAGCCGACCUGAGAGGGUAAUCGGCCACAUUGGGACUGAGACACGGCCCAAACUCCUACGGGAGGCAGCAGUAGGGAAUCUUCCACAAUGGACGAAAGUCUGAUGGAGCAACGCCGCGUGAGUGAUGAAGGGUUUCGGCUCGUAAAACUCUGUUGUUGGAGAAGAACGGGUGUCAGAGUAACUGUUGACAUCGUGACGGUAUCCAACCAGAAAGCCACGGCUAACUACGUGCCAGCAGCCGCGGUAAUACGUAGGUGGCAAGCGUUGUCCGGAUUUAUUGGGCGUAAAGCGAGCGCAGGCGGUUUUUUGGGUCUGAUGUGAAAGCCUUCGGCUUAACCGGAGAAGUGCAUCGGAAACCGGGAGACUUGAGUGCAGAAGAGGACAGUGGAACUCCAUGUGUAGCGGUGAAAUGCGUAGAUAUAUGGAAGAACACCAGUGGCGAAGGCGGCUGUCUGGUCUGCAACUGACGCUGAGGCUCGAAAGCAUGGGUAGCGAACAGGAUUAGAUACCCUGGUAGUCCAUGCCGUAAACGAUGAGUGCUAAGUGUUGGAGGGUUUCCGCCCUUCAGUGCUGCAGCUAACGCAUUAAGCACUCCGCCUGGGGAGUACGACCGCAAGGGUUGAAACUCAAAGGAUUGACGGGGGGCCCGCACAAGCGGUGGAGCAUGUGGUUUAUUCGAUGCUACGCGAGAACCUUACCAGGUCUUGACAUCUCUGCUAACCUAGAGAUUA